UACGUAUGGUGCAAGCGUUAUCCGGAUUUACUGGGUGUAAAGGGAGCGCAGGCGGCACGGCAAGCCUGAUGUGAAAGCCCGCGGCCCAACCGCGGGACUGCAUUGGGAACUACCGGGCUGGAGUGCCGGAGAGGUAGGCGGAAUUCCUAGUGUAGCGGUGAAAUGCGUAGAUAUUAGGAGGAACACCAGUGGCGAAGGCGGCCUACUGGACGGUGACUGACGCUGAGGCGCGAAAGCGUGGGUAGCAAACAGG
rnacentral:rRNA from 1 species